ACAGCACAGUUGGUUAGAGUGUGGUGCUGAUAACACGCCAAGGUUGCAGGUUUGAUCCCUGUAUGGUAUG